AUGGAUCGUAAUAAACUUAUUGCUUAUUUGUUAUUAAGAAGACAUUAUUCUAUCUUAAAAAUACGACAAAGAAGAUACUGGAUACAUCCAUUAAGUAAGGGUAUGAAUCCAAAUGGCGAGUUCUUUUCUAAAAAAUACGAAGCAUUAAAGAUAGACGAAAAAAAAUUUGUUGCCUACUUUAGAAUGAGUAUAUCAUCAUUUGAAGAGCUAUUAAGCGAGUUAUCAAAAUAUAUACAGAAGAAAAAAAAUAAAGGAAGGAAACCAGUUACUGCUUUGGAAAUGCUGGGCUUAACUUUAAGAUUUCUAGCAACCGGCAGUGACUUUAAAACCAUGCAUACGAAUUACUUCCGAGGAGCAAGUACAAUAGCAAAAAUUGUAAGGACAGUUUGUCGCGCCAUAUGGAAACAUCUAUCAAGUCAAAAUAUACCUCCUAUAACAAAACAGGUUCUAGAAGAUGUCGCUAUUGAGUUUGACAAGAAAGCAAAUUUUCCUAACUGCAUAGGAGCUCUUGAUGGAGAUGAAGCAUUCUCAAUUUCGAAUAACGUCAUGCGCCCUUACUCAGGGAAACAUUUGUCGGUACAACAAAGAGUUUACAAUUAUCGACUGAGUCGUGCCCGAAGAUAUGUCGAGUGCGCUUUUGGCAUCCUAGCCAAUAAAUGGCGCAUAUUUCAUCGAUCUAUGAAUGUGCAAUACGAAUUUGCGACAGACAUUAUCAAGGCAUGUUGUGUAAUGCACAACUUUGUUUUGAAUCGAGAUAUCGGUCGCUUGUACUCCACAAGCGACCGAUGACAUUAUCUUUGAUGAUUCUGAUCUGCAAAUGUUGCAUUUGCCCACAGCAAAUGAAAAUAAUUUAAGCCCACAUCUAAUACGGAAUGAUUUUUGUAAUUACUUUUCCAGUGAUGUUGGCGCCCUAAGUUGGCAAUUAAACAAAAUAUGAAUGUUCGUAUACCUACUCAGUUCAAAAUACAAAUAAUACCUUAAUACAUUUGAUUCAAACUAUUUAACAUGUUGUGAACUGCGAAUAAACAAUUUAAAUGGCAA